UUGACCUCGAAUCAGGUAGGAAUACCCGCUGAACUUAAGCAUAUCAAUAGGCGGGAAGGAAAAAAAAGCAA
rnacentral:rRNA from 1 species